GAGUUUGAUCCUGGCUCAGAUUGAACGCUGGCGGCAUGCCUUACACAUGCAAGUCGAACGGCAGCACGGGAGCUUGCUCCUGGUGGCGAGUGGCGAACGGGUGAGUAAUGCAUCGGAACGUAUCCUGGAGUGGGGGAUAACGUAGCGAAAGUUACGCUAAUACCGCAUAUUCUGUGAGCAGGAAAGCGGGGGACCUUCGGGCCUCGCGCUCUUGGAGCGGCCGAUGUCGGAUUAGUUAGUUGGUGAGGUAAAGGCUCACCAAGGCGACGAUCCGUAGCAGGUCUGAGAGGAUGAUCUGCCACACUGGAACUGAGACACGGUCCAGACUCCUACGGGAGGCAGCAGUGGGGAAUUUUGGACAAUGGGGGCAACCCUGAUCCAGCCAUGCCGCGUGAGUGAAGAAGGCCUCGGUUGUAAG
rnacentral:rRNA from 1 species